GAUGAACGCUGGCGGCGUGCCUAAUACAUGCAAGUCGAGCGAACAGACGAGGAGCUUGCUCCUCUGACGUUAGCGGCGGACGGGUGAGUAACACGUGGAUAACCUACCUAUAAGACUGGGAUAACUUCGGGAAACCGGAGCUAAUACCGGAUAAUAUAUUGAACCGCAUGGUUCAAUAGUGAAAGACGGUUUUGCUGGCACUUAUAGAUGGAUCCGCGCCGUAGGAGCUAGUUGGUAAGGUAACGGCUUACCAAGGCAACGAUGCGUAGCCGACCUGAGAGAGUGAUCGGCCACACGGGAACUGAGACACGGUCCAGACUCCUACGGGAGGCAGCAGUAGGGAAUCUUCCGCAAUGGGCGAAAGCUUGACGGAGCAACGCCGAGUGAGUGAUGAAGGUCUUCGGAUCGUAAAACUCUGUUAUUAGGGAAGAACAAAUGUGUAAGUAGCUAUGCACGUCUUGACGGUACCUAAUCAGAAAGCCACGGCUAACUACGUG
rnacentral:rRNA from 1 species